GUAGGUGGCAAGCGUUGUCCGGAAUUAUUGGGCGUAAAGCGCGCGCAGGCGGUCCUUUAAGUCUGAUGUGAAAGCCCACGGCUCAACCGUGGAGGGUCAUUGGAAACUGGGGGACUUGAGUACAGAAGAGGAAAGCGGAAUUCCAAGUGUAGCGGUGAAAUGCGUAGAGAUUUGGGGGGAACACCAGUGGCGAAGGCGGCUUUCUGGUCUGUAACUGACGCUGAGGCGCGAAAGCGUGGGGAGCAAACAGGAUUAGAUACCCUGGUAGUCCACGCCGUAAACGAUGAGUGCUAAGUGUUAGGGGGGUUUCCCGCCCCCCUUAGUGCUGCAGCUAACGCAUUAAGCACUCCGCCUGGGGGAUACGGCCGCAAGGCUG
rnacentral:rRNA from 1 species